ensembl:lncRNA
AAGUAGCAUCGCUCUCUGGGUGACAAGAUUGGCUCCGGGAUAAGAGUGAUAAGAGAACAGGGGAUGGACAGAUUCUCACCUCUCCUUCUCCUGACAUCAAACUCAACAGCUUACUAUUCCAAGUUCAGAGAAGGGCAAGAAAAACAAAAGAGAAGAAAUGAAGUGGAAUGCAGGAGAAAUGUGGAAUGCAGAAGGAAUUUAGACAACAUUUUAACAUUAAUUCUGUUUUGAUGCAUUGAUUCAUCGUGCAGGCUGGCUGGUGAUAUACUGUAAUGUUAACAGUGCAAAGAAAAUGAUACAGAUUUUGAACAACAUGAUGGUGAGUAAAUGAUGACAGAAUUUUUAUUCUUGGGUGAAAUAUUAACUAAUAAUGUUAGCUCACACAAUAUAUACCUGUUAUUUCCCAUACAAGGACCAGCAGGAAGUUGUGAUGCUGUCACAAUGCUGCUACCAUGGUAACGGCUCCUAUAUACUUGCUUGUGCAUUGUGCUAAUGCUGGUGCAAUCAGUCUGAGUUAGUGCAGUUUGGCAGAUGGCUCACUGCGCUGUAUUCCACGUGCACUCAACAGAUCAAUACAGCACCUCAUUACAGAGUCCAAAUCGAGAGAUAGAUCACACACCAGAUAAAGGUAGCGGAUUCCAGUGAGAGUUUAUAUCAAUGAUGAUCAGAUACUUUAAGUGGUGGUUUGAUUCCAGACCGUCAAGACUUGCUUGUCCAUUUUUGCAGCUGAAUUUAUGUAUUUUGGAAUACACUAGUCACUAUGAUAAGAAAAUGUGUGCCUAGAACAGCAGCAGGGGUGUUAAAUACAUGAGUGCUUCAUCAUUACAUACUAAAGUAUUAUUUUGUGGACUUUGAAUACUAUUUUAACAGAAUACUUGAACUUACUAAUUUGAUUAAAAAAAAAAGUUCUCUUUAGACCUUAAAUUUAAUUUAAAAGUACACAUUUUGCAGGUCAUCACAACUUAAAUCCAACAAAGCCAACAUAUGUGUUUAUGAUAUAUAAUGCACGUUGUGUGUGCAUACUAAAAAACAAUUAUAUGGAAACUAUAAAUAAAAUAUAACUUUCUAAUAGCAAACCAUUCUGUUUCAGUGCAAAAUGUCAUAGCUAUAGAGGAACAUGAUUAAAGUAGGGAUACAUUUUUAGUCAUAAACAAUUAUAUUAAAAAUUCAACCAACUAUUAAUGUCUACAGAUUUUAAAGAUUUAUUUUAUUUAAAGUGUGCUAGACCCUUACACAGUCAGAACAUUGAAAAAUUGUGUUUAAAAUGGGUCUUUCCAAAGUUUUUGCAUCAAAGUUGCAAAGUCUAUUCGUAAAACUAAGAAAAAAACUUUAAUAUUUGUGUACAAUUAUAAGUGGGAGAAAAAAUACUUUCACUCAGUUUUGUGGCUGCGUAGAUACUUUGCCAUUUAAAUACAUUUAUGACAUAGUGCUCAACCUUCUUACACCCCUGAACCGUGGUAAAUGUCAGUGUAAACCCAAGAGGCAAAUUAGCACAUUAUUGGUCUUGGCUGCAUUAUAAGUGCCUGCUGAGGGGUUUAAUUGCAGUGUAUUUUAGCCCGUAAAAGGAAACAUUAUGUCUGUACUUUGCACCCUUCCAGAACUGUGCACUUAUGUCUACUCCAUGAGCUUAGAUCCAUAGCACGUAAUACCAAACAUUCCCCCCAUCUGCAAAAAUGGUUCCAAAAAGAAUUUUUUAAAAAUCCAUGCAGUUCUGAAAGGGCCAUUGAGUUUACUUGUCACAAACAUCAUGUCUUUGCUGGUAAAGUCUCGAGACAGCAAGCCUUUAAUUCUGAAAAUUUCUCUCCAAGGGAGAACACAGUCAGCCGUAGCCCAACUGUCCUAGAAAAGGAUCUCAGCACUCUCUGAGUGGGCAUCAGGGGCUAUAGGGACGUGCUCUGGGUGUGGAGAGAGCACUUUGGACCAUACCCAUAAUCCAGCGGUAAUCUGUUCUUAAAUGUUAGGCUCUGGCUAAAGGAGUUGAGGGGUGACAGAGAGCAAUGCUCAGCAGUAAACAGGAAGCAGGCUUUGGAAGAAGUUGAUGAGUACUGAGCUUCAGAAGGAAGGGUUUCCCUUUUUUUUAUCUUUUGCUGAUUGAAGGUGAGGAGCAGCCCUAAAAAGACAUGACAGAAUGUAUGGUAGUUAAAG